rnacentral:rRNA from 1 species
AUUGAACGCUAGCGGGAUGCCUUACACAUGCAAGUCGAACGAGUGGGGACGGGUGAGUAACACGUGGGUAACCUCCCAUCAGAGGGGAUAACACUUGGAAACAGGUGCUAAACCGAUACUGAUGGAUGGACCCGCGGUGCAUUAGCUAGUUGGUGGGGUAACGGCUCACCAAGGCAACGAUGCCUAGCCGACCUGAGAGGGUGAUCAGCCACACUGGAACUGAGACACGGCCCAGACUCCUACGGGAGGCAGCAGUAGGGAAUCUUCCGCAAUGGACGAAAGUCUGACCGAGCAACGCCGCGUGUAUGAAGAAGGUUUUCGGAUCGUAAAGCUCUGUUGUUAGGGAAGCGUUAUCUAACCAGAAAGCCACGGCUAACUACGUGCCAGCAGCCGCGGUAAUUC